GGUCCUACGGGGGGCAGCAGUCGGGAAUAUUGCACAAUGGAGGAAACUCUGAUGCAGUGACACCGCGUAUAGGAAGAAGGUUUUCGGAUUGUAAACUAUUUUAGACAGGGAAGAAAAAAGACAGUACCUGUAGAAUAAGCUCCGGCUAACUACGUGCCAGCAGCCGCGGUAAUACGUAGGGGGCAAGCGUUAUCCGGAUUUACUGGGUGUAAAGGGAGCGUAGACGGCAGCGCAAGUCUGGAGUGAAAUGCCGGGGCCCAACCCCGGAACUGCUUUGGAAACUGUGCGGCUCGCGUGCG
rnacentral:rRNA from 1 species